ACUCUGAAAUUGUCGCGCGAGCGAGUGAGAGAACUUUUUGUGUAUGCAAAAAAAGACGCUUGAGUGACGGGCAUUCACAGAUCUUCCGGGAAGCUUUAAUUCGGGUAUUUUCGAAUCGGCGAGUAAACAGCUGCGAAUCGAUCAAUCGAGAGCCAUUUAGCCCGAAUAAAUAAAUCGCGCGAUUAAACUCUCGUGGAUACAAGCUCUCGUGCAUAUAUUCCUCAAACAAAAGCUUAUCUGAUUGAAAAGGAAAUUUCGUACGCUAAUUACGCGGACCUAUCGGCCGUGAAAUCUAGCACGACAUGGUACGAUUAAGGUACGACAGUGUGGAGUGUACGUGCACCCGAGGUCCUGCGCGCGCGAGACACUCACCUGCAUAAAGGGGGCUACGUGUAAUUUCGGCGCCUUCGAUGGACUGGGGUUAAGGCAGUCGUCUCUUCUAAUUAAUAAGCGUCCCUCAUCUGUCCCCCGAGACAAGGACCCGACCACUUAGUACAUACCUGCAUCGCGGUGAACACAAAGACACAGCAGAAUCCAAGCGUCCGUCCAUCCAUUUAUCCUUCGUCCAUCUGCGUACGCGAAGCUCAAUCCAACUUUAUCGCGCGCAACCCUUUGACUUUCGGAUACGCAGAUGCGCGCGUCGCUGAUUAGCAUUCAGGGAAGACGUUCUCCCCACCGCGGUGUCUGACUCUUUCGUCGGCUUUUGCAUGUGCCACAUCGACAAGACGAGAAAAGGGACGGCCGCAGGCGCUGACGGCUGACGACGGCUGCCGCGACACCCCCUCGGAUUAAAGCGACGCGAGGCUGAUGUGAGCUGUUGCAAAAUGCGAGAGGCGAUGCCGCGAUCGAGCUGUUGAUGUGCUAUGCGCAAAAUAAUAAGGUGACGAUAUUGCUGCAGCUGACGAACAAAGUCAAUCAUCGACUCCUCGUUUGUCCCUCGGCCGUCGAACUACUGCUGCUGCUGCUGUCGUCGUUGGCGCUACGAGAUAACUCGAUAAUACGGCGUCGACCGGUCGACCGCUGCGCGCCUUGUGAACCGCGAGAAUGAAGUGUCUUCGGCGUCCUCGUAAAUUUCCUGAGUUUUAUGAAAUUUUAACUGUCUUUUCUCGCGGAAGCUACGGUUGUUAUUAGCUUUUUAUCGACGCCUUCUGAUGCCGAUCCCUCAAUUAGAAGAAAGAUGGAUUUAUUUUUGAAACGCUGACGCGCUGCCAAUUAUUUUUGGAUGCAGUUGUCCAAAGGCUUCCUACAAAUCCCUAAAUCGUCGGAUAUAAUAAAGCUCUAACACCAAGCGUGCCCUGUUCGCACAUUCAUUAAUUACGACUCGCGCGUAAGCGAUAAUUAAAUCCGGCGAAGCACGAGUUUUCUCGCGCGGGUAAUGCGCGCCGACUAUUCGCAGCGCCAACCACUCAAACGGCAAUUUUCGAGCCAGAGAGGCAUUAGAGGGCCAGCUAUUAAUUUUCAAAUUACCCGCCAAAGCUUUUACCGAUCGGCGACUCAGCCAAUUUUCGUUUGACAAUAUACGGCUUUUUGAAUCAAAUAAAUUCAAAAUCCAUAAGA
rnacentral:lncRNA from 12 species